rnacentral:ncRNA from 1 species
GCAAAAACGCGGAAAGGGAAUAGUAGACAGCGAACCCUUCAGAGAGCGGAGCCGGCAAGAGCUGGAAGGUUCCGCAGGACGUACCUGUCGAAGUCGCCCCGGAGUUGUCGAAUUGAAAGCGGAAGCUCUAGAUUCGGCCGGUUACAGCCGUUAUCUGUUCGAGUGCCGCACGGAUGAAGGGAAGCCUCCAGCUUCUCGGAGCACGGGCGGAAUGAAGGUGGUACCACGGAAGCGAGAGCCUUUCGUCCUUUGC